rnacentral:rRNA from 1 species
AGAGUUUGAUCCUGGCUCAGGACGAACGCUGGCGGCGUGGAUUAGGCAUGCAAGUCGAACGAGAAAGUUUUCCUUCGGGAGAGCGAGUACAGUGGCGGACUGGUGAGUAACGCGUAGGUAAUCUACCUUUAAGUGGGGGAUAGCCCUCGGAAACGGGGAUUAAUACCGCAUGUGUUCCUUCGGGAAUAAAGGUGGCCUCUGAUAUAAGCUGUCGCUUAAAGAUGAGCCUGCGUCCCAUUAGUUAGUUGGUGUGGUAAUGGCGCACCAAGACGAUGAUAGGUAGGCGUCCUUAACGGGUGGUCGCCCACACUGGGAUUGAGAUACUGCCCAGACUCCUACGGGAGGCAGCAGUCGAGAAUAGUCUACAAUGGACGAAAGUCUGAUAGUGCAACGCCGCGUGGGUGAUGAAGCAUUUCGGUGUGUAAAACCCUUUUCUUUGUGAGCAAUGCCAUUAUGUUUAAGAGAUGUAGUGGAGCGAUAUUAGCAGAGGAAUAAGCCACGGCUAACUCCGUGCCAGCAGCCGCGGUAACACGGGGGUGGCGAGCGUUGUCCGGAAUCACUAGGCGUAAAGGGCAAGUAGGCGGAAUAUCUAGUCAUUUGUUAAAGGCAUUGGCUCAACCAAUGUACGGCAUAUGAUACUGGUAUUCUAGAAUUUGGUAUGGGAAGACGGAAUUCCUGGUGUAGCGGUGGAAUGCGCAGAUAUCAGGAAGAACACCGGAGGCGAAGGCGGUCUUCUGGGCCAAAAUUGACGCUGAAUUGCGAAGGUGUGGGUAUCAAACAGGAUUAGAUACCCUGGUAGUCCACACAGUAAACGAUGUGCACUAGAUGUUGGGGAAUAAUUUCUUCAGUGUCGCAGCUAACGCGUUAAGUGCAUCGCCUGGGGAGUACGAUCGCAAGAUUAAAACUCAAAGGAAUUGACGGGGGCCCGCACAAGCGGUGGAGCAUGUGGUUUAAUUCGAUGCAACGCGAAGAACCUUACCUGGGCUUGACAUCCUU